UAAUAAUAAUUUAAGUUUGACAAUUUUAAUCAAGCAUAAUAACGUUUUACAUACAUGAAUAUAGAAUUAAAGAAAAUGAAAAACGAGAUAAGGAAUAGAGAUUAAGGAACUCAGAGGUAUUUUUGGUGAAAUUUCAAAGUAGGGAAAACUAAAAUAGAAUUGACACGUGGCAUUUUCUGAUUGGUUGGAACACAUCACACGACCACGUGUCAUUGUGUGAUUGGUUGGCAAAUAUCAAAUCAUUGAUUAAGUCUUUGACUAGGUUCUAUAGUACUAUUUCGUGAACUCACUUCAUCUCAACUAUUGAUCUUAUUAUAGAUAAGAUUUGGACCAUUGAUCAAAUCAAAGAAUUUUGACUUGAUCUGGCCUUUGGAUUGGUAGUUGGGAAUGUAUCUUGGUCGUCCAUCUUAAAGCUACAAUGGACCUCCCCACAUUUUGUUGAAAACUCAUCUUUUGAUCUGAGGCUUUGAAUUAAAUAUUCAAAUCGAUCCAAGCCGUUAGGGAAUUCAAUAAAGACCUCCAUUUUCCUCUAUUUUUCUUCACACCAAAACUUUCAAACCAUUACUCCUACUCCACCAAAAUCAAUAUUACGACAUUCUUGGGGUCGCUGUUCAUCUAAGUUAUUAUUCACAGACACUACUCAUCCGAUUUCACUAUUCACUUCCCUAAACUUGUAGCAAUCGUUCCGUAUUCAUUAUGGAAAAUUACUAUUCACAUGCACUUUUCACAUCGGGUUUCAUUAUUCAUCACUCCUCCAACUAAGGUAAUCUCUAUUCCUUAUCUCGUUUUUUGUUUACUUUAAUUAUGUAUUCCUAUUUCUAAAGUGUUAUUCUGCCCAAUUUAAAUUGUCACACUUAAAUUAAUUUUAUUUUCUGAAUGGUUAAUUUUCUCAGAUAUUUCUAAAAAUUGGAUCCCUAUGCCAUUACACUGCCAGUUUGAAUUCUAGUCAAACUUAAGAAUCUUAGGGCAUGUUUGGUAUGGCUCACUAAAUGGGACUGUGCUAUAUUGGACCUGAAGCCCAUGUUUGGUUAGCAAGAGGACUAACUUAAAUGGGACAGUAGAGCCCAACAGUAAAAAAAAUGCCUCACUCGUUCUCCUUAUACAAAGAAGCUCAAAAUGGGUUCGCAAAAUAAGCCUUCGCUAUAUUGAACACGCCUCUCUCCAGUUCGCGACUCCUUCUCUGCGACUCCGUCUUUGCGACUCUACCUCUCUUUCGUUCAACAUCGACUCAUCUUCUUCGAAUCUUGACACAGGUGGCGGACAAUUUCUAUAGACCCAAUUUGAAGAAAGCAGCUCUUGCCAGGGUAAGUGUUGGUCACAGGAGUCUCAAGGUCUCCGAGUCUGGUGUCAAGAAGAGGAAUAGGCAGGUUGUCAAGACCCCUGGUAGGAACAAGUUUUUUUUUCUUCUUCCAAUGUAUUAAUUUUUGAGAACCGAUGAUUGCUUUUGUACUUAACAUAGCUCUAACUGCAAACUGGAUUUCCAUCGCAAUUGUCCAGUGUUAUAUGUAAGUAUACUUGUAGGCAAAGGUGAAAUUUGGAAAACGUGAUUAUGCUACCUAUACCCAGCAAUGAACCAAUGACAAAAUUUGCUUGAAAUCGUGGUACUAAUUUAGUUGUGAGAUUGCUUGUAUGAGAAAAAUUCAAUUGUUGAUCAUUA